rnacentral:rRNA from 1 species
AUUGAACGCUGGCGGCAGGCCUAACACAUGCAAGUCGAGCGAGGGGCGGACGGGUGAGUAAUGUCUGGGACACUGCCUGAUGGAGGGGGAUCACUACUGGAAACGGUAGCUAAUACCGCAUACCAGCGGAUGUGCCCAGAUGGGAUGAGCUAGUGGGUGGGGUAAUGGCUCACCUAGGCGACGAUCCCUAGCUGGUCUGAGAGGAUGACCAGCCACACUGGGACUGAGACACGGCCCAGACUCCUACGGGAGGCAGCAGUGGGGAAUAUUGCACAAUGGGCGCAAGCCUGAUGCAGCCAUGCCGCGUGUAUGAAGAAGGCCUUCGGGUUGUAAAGUACUUUCAGCAGGGAGGCGUUACCCGCAGAAGAAGCACCGGCUAACUCCGUGCCAGCAGCCGCGGUAAUUC